GGAUAAGGAGACUGACUGGUACUCCUGAGGUGGUGUGUUCGAGCCUUUUUUGGGACAAGGUGAAUUUUGAAGUCUAGUGUCUAGACAUGAAAUUGAAAGAGGAAACAAAUGGUAUAAUCAUGUGUGUCCAAGUGGCUCAGGGGAUGAGAACACUGACUGGAACUCGUGAGGUCACAGGUUCGAGUCCAACCUUGCCCACUUCUUGGUGAAUUUUGAAGGUCUAGAGACUAAAAAGUACAGCGAUAUGUGAAAAAAAAAACACAUUUCUCUUGUGUGUCCACAUGGCUCACGGGAUAAGGAGACUGACUGGUACUCCUGAGGUGGAGUGUUCCAACCUUUUUUGGGACAAGGUGAAUUUUGAAGUCUAGUGUCUAGACAAGAAAGUGAAAGAGGAAACAAGUGGUAUAAUCCUGUAUGUCCAAGUGGCUCAGAUGAUAAGUACACUGACUGGAACUCUUGAGGUCAUAGGUUCGAGUCCUACGUUACCUAGUUUUUGGUGAAUUUUAAAGUCUUGAGUCCACAAAGGACAGCGAUAUGUGAAAAAAAACCUGAUUGUCUUGUGUGCCAACAUGGCUCACGGGAUAAGGAGACUGGCUGGUACUCCUGAGGUGGUGUGUUCGAGCCUUUUUUGGGACAAGGUGAAUUUUGAAGUCUAGUGUCUAGACAGUAAAGUGAAAGAGGAAACAAAUGGUAUAAUCCUGUGUGUCCAAGUGGCUCAGGGGAUAAGAACACUGACUGGAACUCCUGAGGUCACAGGUUCGAGUCCAACCUUGCCCACUUCUUGGUGAAUUUUGAAGGUCUAGAGUCUAAAAAGUACAGUGAUAUAUGAAAAAAAACAUAAUUGUCUUGUGUGUCCACAUGGCUCACGGGAUAAGGAGACUGACUGGUACUCCUGAGGUGGUGUGUUUGAGCCUUUUUUGGGACAAGGUGAAUUUUGAAGUCUAGUGUCUAGACAGGAAAGUGAAAGAGGAAAGAAGUGGUAUAAUCCUGUGUCUCCAAGUGGCUCAGGGGAUAAGAAGACUGACUGGGACUCCUGAGGUCAUAGGUUCAAGUCCUACCUUGCCCACUUCUAUUUUGAAGGUCUAGAGUCUACAAAGUACAGUGAUAUAUGUAAAAAAAACAUGAUUGUCUCGUGUGUCCACAUGAGUCAGUGG
rnacentral:lncRNA from 1 species